rnacentral:rRNA from 1 species
AGAUAUGAUCCAGAGUACCACGGGACACGUGAAACCCUGUGGGAAGCAGGAGGGACCACCCUCCAAGGCUAAAUACUACCUAGUGACCGAUAGCGUAUAGUACCGUGAGGGAAAGGUGAAAAGAACCCCGGGAGGGGAGUGAAAUAGAACCUGAAACCCUGCACUUACAAGCUGUGGAAGCACAUUUCUUGUGUGACCGCGUACUUUUUGUAGAACGGGCCAACGAGUUACGUUAAGUAGCAAGGUUAAGCACUUAAGGUGCGGAGCCGUAGCGAAAGCGAGUUUUAACUGAGCGUUCAGUUACUUGACGUAGACCCGAAACCGGGCGACCUACCCAUGAGCAGGAUGAAGCGAAAGUAAAAUUUCGUGGAGGUCCGAACCCACGAGCGUUGAAAAGCUCGGGGAUGACUUGUGGGUAGCGGUGAAAUUCCAAUCGAGCCCGGAGAUAGCUGGUUCUCCCCGAAAUAGCUUUAGGGCUAGCCUCAAGGUGAGAGAUACGGAGGUAGAGCACUGAAUGUCCUAGGGGGUAUUGCACCUACCGAAGACUAUCAAACUCCGAAUGCCGUCAUCUUAUACUUGGGAGUCAGACUGUGGGUGAUAAGAUUCAUAGUCGAAAGGGCAACAGCCCAGAUCGUCAGCUAAGGUCCCUAAAUGUAAGUUAAGUGGUAAAGGAUGUGGGAUUGCACAGACAACCAGGAUGUUGGCUUAGAAGCAGCCACUCAUUCAAAGAGUGCGUAAUAGCUCACUGGUCGAGUGAUCCUGCGCCGAAGAUUUCCGGGGCUAAAACUU